UUUGGAGUUAUGUUUUAUAAAUAAUUGAUAUUUAGUUUUUAAUUAGUAUUGUGAUAGAAUAUUUUAAGUUGAUAAUAGUUUAAAAGUACUGUAAAGGAAAGUUUAAGGUCUAAUAUUAAAAAAAAGAAGAGUUUAAUUUUCUUACCUUUUGUAUCAGGGGCUUUUUAUUUAGUUGUUUUAGUUAAUUUAAUCCCGAAAUAACAUGAGUUAAGUUUAUAAUAUUUUUUACGUAGUAAAGUUAUAUUUAAUAUAGGCUUAGUGGUGAAAUUUUACUCGACUGUUAUAUAUCUGGUUUUUUUUGAAAAAAGUUUAAUUUUUUGGGUAAUUAAGGUAAUAUUACUUUUUUAGUGUAGGAGGCAUGAGCUUCUUAUAUAAGGUCGCGUUAAAAUUAGAAUUUAAAGUCGUUAGACUUGGCUUAAAAUCAGCCAUGUUGAUAAAGCGUUUUAGUUAAGAUUAAGUAUUAUUAUAUUUUUAUUAUUUUGCGCUUAAUUAGGAAAAAAUAAUUGUUAGUUAAUUGUUGUUAAUUAUAUUGUUUGUAUUAGUAUAUAAAAUUUGUGAAAAAAUGAUUUAAAAUAAAAUUAAAUUUUUAUCUUAUAUGAGUUAUAAAAAAGGAACUCGGCAAAUAUUGCCUCUGCCUGUUUAUCAAAAACAUGUCUGUAUGUUUUAAUUAUAUGGAGUCUGGCCUGCCCACUGAUGUUUUUAAGGGCCGCGGUAAUUUGACCGUGCGAAGGUAGCAUAAUCAGUAGUCUUUUAAUUGGAGGCUGGAAUGAAUGGUUGGACAAGGGGGAAGCUGUCUCUUUUUACAAUUUUUGAAUUUUACUUUUAAGUGAAAAGGCUUAAAUAAUUUGGGGGGACGAUAAGACCCUAUAAAAUUUUACAAAAUUGGGAUUUUUUUUUGAAUUAAGGUUUAAAUUCUAUAAGUUCUUAUUUGUUUUGUUGGGGCGGCAAAGAUAAAAAUUAGUAACUGUCAUUUAAUUAGAAUAAUUAUAAUUAGUUUAAUUGAUCCUUUAUUAGAGAUUAAAAGAUUAAGUUACUUUAGGGAUAACAGCGUAAUUUUCCCUGAGAGUUCUUAUCGACGGGAGUAGUUGCGACCUCGAUGUUGAAUUAAGGUCUCUUUUAAGUGUAGCAGCUUAGUGAGUGGGUCUGUUCGACCCUAAAAACCUUACAUGAUUUGAGUUCAAACCGGCGUGAGCCAGGUUGGUUUCUAUCUUCCAGUUUAAUUAACCUUGCCUUAGUACGAAAGGACCUGGUAUGGAGAAUAUUUCUUAAAGUAGAAGAACUUUAACAGUUUUAUUACCUUGGCAGAUAAAUGCAU
rnacentral:rRNA from 1 species